UACGAAGGGGGCUAGCGUUGUUCGGAAUUACUGGGCGUAAAGCGCGCGUAGGCGGAUCGCUAAGUCAGGGGUGAAAUCCCAGGGCUCAACCCUGGAACUGCCUUUGAUACUGGCGAUCUGGAGAUCGGGAGAGGUUGGUGGAAUUCCGAGUGUAGAGGUGAAAUUCGUAGAUAUUCGGAGGAACACCAGAAGCGAAGGCGGCCAACUGGCCCGAUACUGACGCUGAGGCGCGAAAGCGUGGGGAGCAAACAGG
rnacentral:rRNA from 1 species